UACGGGAGGCAGCAGUGGGGAAUUUUGCGCAAUGGGCGAAAGCCUGACGCAGCGACGCCGCGUGGAGGAUGAAGGUCUUCGGAUUGUAAACUCCUUUUGCAGGGGAAGAUAAUGACGGUACCCUGCGAAUAAGCCACGGCUAACUCUGUGCCAGCAGCCGCGGUAAUA
rnacentral:rRNA from 1 species